GACGAACGCUGGCGGCGUGCCUAAUACAUGCAAGUAGAACGCACAGUUUAUACCGUAGCUUGCUACACCAUAGACUGUGAGUUGCGAACGGGUGAGUAACGCGUAGGUAACCUGCCUGGUAGCGGGGGAUAACUAUUGGAAACGAUAGCUAAUACCGCAUAAUAUUGAUUAUUGCAUGAUAAUUGAUUGAAAGAUGCUAUUGCAUCACUACCAGAUGGACCUGCGUUGUAUUAGCUAGUAGGUGAGGUAACGGCUCACCUAGGCGACGAUACAUAGCCGACCUGAGAGGGUGAUCGGCCACACUGGGACUGAGACACGGCCCAGACUCCUACGGGAGGCAGCAGUAGGGAAUCUUCGGCAAUGGACGAAAGUCUGACCGAGCAACGCCGCGUGAGUGAAGAAGGUUUUCGGAUCGUAAAGCUCUGUUGUAAGAGAAGAACGGGUG
rnacentral:rRNA from 1 species